GACGAACGCUGGCGGCGUGCCUAAUACAUGCAAGUAGAACGCUGAAGGAGGAGCUUGCUCUUCUGGAUGAGUUGCGAACGGGUGAGUAACGCGUAGGUAACCUGCCUGGUAGCGGGGGAUAACUAUUGGAAACGAUAGCUAAUACCGCAUAACAGUAGAUGCUGCAUGACAUUUACUUAAAAGGUGCAAUUGCAUCACUACCAGAUGGACCUGCGUUGUAUUAGCUAGUUGGUGGGGUAACGGCUCACCAAGGCGACGAUACAUAGCCGACCUGAGAGGGUGAUCGGCCACACUGGGACUGAGACACGGCCCAGACUCCUACGGGAGGCAGCAGUAGGGGAUCUUCGGCAAUGGACGGAAGUCUGACCGAGCAACGCCGCGUGAGUGAAGAAGGUUUUCGGAUCGUAAAGCUCUGUUGUAAGAGAAGAACGAGUGUGAGAGUGGAAAGUUCACACUGUGACGGUAUCUUACCAGAAAGAGACGGCUAACUACGUG
rnacentral:rRNA from 1 species